UACGGGGGGAGCAAGCGUUGUUCGGAUUUACUGGGCGUAAAGGGCGCGUAGGCGGCCAGCACAAGUCAGUUGUGAAAUCUCCGAGCUUAACUCGGAAAGGUCAACUGAUACUGUGCGGCUAGAGUGCAGAAGGGGCAACUGGAAUUCUCGGUGUAGCGGUGAAAUGCGUAGAUAUCGAGAGGAACACCUGCGGCGAAGGCGGGUUGCUGGGCUGAUACUGACGCUGAGGCGCGAAAGCUAGGGGAGCGAACGGG
rnacentral:rRNA from 1 species